rnacentral:lncRNA from 1 species
GAAGAAAGAAAGCGGUUGGUCCUGAGGAGAGAGGAGCCUUCCAGAAGUAUCCAUGCCUUCCUGGAAGACUCAGCGGAGAACCAGGCUAAUCUCGGGGAUAAAAGGAUUAAAGGCACGGCUCAGCCUUCCAAGGGCAAGGGUUGGAAUGGCUGCCCUGAUCUGGGACAUGGAGUUGUCUCUCUUGGGAGAGUAAAGACGGAGGCUUUUUGGGGACAGGAUGCGGGGGGGCAGAUCUUUCUCCCAGGCCUCCCUGGAAUUUCCCUUAGCUUGAGGAUUGCAGUUUUCACUCAGCAGACAAAACCAGAGCAGAGCUCAGCAAACAGCUGCACUGUGAUGGCCUGCAGGUUCCUACACCUGCCUGGGGAAUCCCCCUCGCUUCAUCCCACCACACCUAAAGAAAAGGAGAGCCGCAGGAGGUCUGACGGUGGGUGCACGGGGCCCAGCUGGGAGGCCUGCCCAAGCUCCUGCCUAUGCUGGCCUUUGUUCCUGGGGCAUUUCCAAAGCUCAGGGCUUGGGCUUUGUCCAUUCUCAGGAACCGGGAAAUGAUGCCUGACCACCCCAAACCCAGCAAUCUUUCCUGCUUCCAAACAAAGAGGCCUUUUGAUUUUACAUACUCUCUUGGCCCUUACAUGCCAAAAGGUCUUGGGUAAUAAAAAGAAGAUUAUCAGCAAACACUCACAGAGCACUUACUAUGUUCCAGGUGCUAUUUUAAAUGUUAUAGUUAUUAACUCAUUUAAUCCCAGGAGUUGAGACGGGCUGUCUGGUUUCCUUCGCUAUAUAGUGAAAGGCUCAGGGGCAGGGAGAGGGUGGCACAUUUUUGUAUUCUCUCCAUUCCUUACACUCCAGGAAUGUUUGCAGACUGACUCAGCCUGCUCUGGGGAGGUCGUAGUGGAUCCUGGUUACUCACUUUCCCUUUCUUUUCCAACAGGGCUGUGUUCCACCCCUUUCCUGUUCUCUCAGGGAGAAAGAGUGGAAUGGUAGGACACGGUGUGAAGGGGUUUCCAGAUCCCCAGAUGGCAGGUGGGACAGCUUGCCUGCCCAUCAAAGAAGUUGCCUCCUGGAGACACAUCUGGGCAUUCUGGCAGGAGGAGCAAGAGAGGCACUGUGUGUGUGUGUGUGUGAUUGUGUGCAUGAGUGUGCAAGUGUGUAUGUGUGUAUGUAUAAGAGUGUGUGUGUGAGAGAGAGUGUGGGUGGGUGAGUGUGUGUGUGUGAUAGUGUGAGUGUGUGUGAGUGUAUUUGUGUGUAUGUAUGUGAGUGUGGGUGACUGAAAGUGUGUAAUGAGUUGGGUUUCCUUUUCACGCUUUCCUGGAUUUGCUACCAUGAUCAACUAUGACUUUUACACUCUCAAUAGGGAAAUUAACUGCUAAGGAGGCUGAGACUGGAGGACCACUUGAACCCAGAAGGUUGAGGCUGUAGUGAGCCACUGCCCUCCAGCCUGGACAACAGAGCAAGACCAUGUCUCAAAAAAAAUAAAUAAAUAAAAGAGAGUGAGAAAGAGAUGCAGAGUUAGAAAUUGCAGCGGAUGUUGACUGAGCAUUUGUUGAGUAGUGCCUGCCGUGGUGAGAGCACACCUUUAAGGGAGAGCACAGAAGCACGGAGCUGGGCUGGCAUCCAGCGGGUGUGUAGCAGUAGGUCUGGCAUCGGUCCUGACGAUCAGGAACCUAUUCUGACCGAUCAUGCCCAUUGAUAAGCAUUUUGAAAUCUUUCCUGGCUGGAAGCCAUGGUCUCUGCUUCGGAAGGAAGAUUCGAUCCUGUGGCCAAUUCCCUUCCCCCAGCCAGCAGCCCCAGUCCAAUGAGGGACUCACUAUGUUGACCUCUGUGCUCUUUAAAGACACCUGUGUCGGAGGAUUCUACCAGCUCCCUCCUGGGCUCCUCAUUUAAAAACUCCCAGGCUUUAGAGUUGGGAAUUGCACCUCAAGGUUGGUGUCCACACUCCAGAGCUGAAGACCUCAGCCCUGGCUGCCUGUUUAAGAAAAUACCAAGGGCUGCAUGCAGUGGUUCAUGCCUGUAAUCCCAGCACUUUUGGAGGCUGAAGUGGGAGGAUGGGUUGAGGCCAGGAAUUUGAGACCAGCCCAGGCAACACAGCAAGAUUCUGUCUUUACAAAGAACAUGAAAAAAAAAAAAAAAAAAAGAUUAGCUGGGUGUGGUGGUGUGCACCUGUGGUCCUAGCUACUCAGGAGACUGAGGCAGGAGAAUUGCUUGAGCCUGGGAGGUUGAGGCUGCAGUGAGGUGUGAUUGCACCACUGCACUCCAGCCUGACCACAGAGCAAGAUGUUGUCUCCAAUCAAUGAAUACCAACGCCGGAGCUGCACCCCACACCUGUUAAGCUGGAGAGUCUGGGGUAAGCCCAGAGCAGGGGUAUUUUGGAACUUUCUUGAGAUGGCUCUGCUGCGCAGCCACAGUUGAGAACCACUGAGGCAUCCCGGCAGAUGGAAAAAGCCCC